rnacentral:rRNA from 1 species
AAUCAAGCUUUUUAGGGCACACAGUGAAUGCCUUGGUGCUAACAGGCGAUGAAGGACGUGAUAAGCUGCGAUAAGCUUCGGGGAGUGGCAAAUACACUUUGAUCCGGAGAUUU